UACGUAGGGCGCAAGCGUUAUCCGGAAUUAUUGGGCGUAAAGAGCGUGUAGGCGGUCCUGUAAGUCCGCUGUGAAAGUCAAGGGCUCAACCCUUGAAUGCCGGUGGAUACUGCAGGACUAGAGUCCGGAAGAGGCGAGUGGAAUUCCUGGUGUAGCGGUGAAAUGCGCAGAUAUCAGGAGGAACACCGAUGGCGAAGGCAGCUCGCUGGGACGGUACUGACGCUGAGACGCGAAAGCGUGGGGAGCAAACAGG
rnacentral:rRNA from 1 species